rnacentral:rRNA from 1 species
ACGAACGCUGGCGGCGUGCUUAACACAUGCAAGUCGAACGGUGAAGGGACCAGCUUGCUGGUUCUGGAUGAGUGGCGAACGGGUGAGUAACACGUGAGUAACCUGCCCCCUUCUUCUGGAUAACCGCAUGAAAGUGUGGCUAAUACGGGAUAUUCUGGGUCUGUCGCAUGGCGGGCCCGGGAAAGAUAUUGCUUCGGUGGGGGAUGGGCUCGCGGCCUAUCAGCUUGUUGGUGGGGUGAUGGCCUACCAAGGCGGUGACGGGUAGCCGGCCUGAGAGGGUGGACGGUCACACUGGGACUGAGACACGGCCCAGACUCCUACGGGAGGCAGCAGUGGGGAAUAUUGCACAAUGGGCGCAAGCCUGAUGCAGCGACGCCGCGUGAGGGAGGGAGGCCUUCGGGUUGUAAACCUCUUUCGCCAGUGAAGCAGGCCUGCUCCUUGUGGGUGGGUUGACGGUAGCUGGAUAAGAAGCGCCGGCUAACUACGUG